GAUGAGGAACGUAGCGAAAUGCGAUAAGUAAUGUGAAUUGCAGAAUUCAGUGAAUCAUCGAAUCUUUGAACGCACAUUGCGCCCCUUGGUAUUCCGAGGGGCAUGCCUGUUCGAGCGUCAUUAUAACCCUCAAGCUCAGCUUGGUGUUGGGGCCUGCUGCACUGGCAGCCCUUAAAAUCAGUGGCGGCGCCAUCUGGCUCUAAGCGUAGUAAUUCUUCUCGCUAUGGAGUCCUGGUGGAUGCUUGCCAUCAACCCCCAAUUUUUCUAUGGUUGACCUCGGAUCAGGUAGGGAUACCCGCUGAACUUAAGCAUAUCAAUAAGCGGAGGA
rnacentral:misc_RNA from 1 species